rnacentral:rRNA from 1 species
UGGGGAAUCUUCCGCAAUGGCCGAAAGUCUGACGGAGCAACGCCGCGUGAGUGAUGAAGGUCCUCGGAUUGUAAAGCUCUGUUAAUCGGGACGAAAGAGCCUAGUGUGAAUAAUGCUAGGAAGUGACGGUACCGGAAUAGAAAGCCACGGCUAACUACGUGCCAGCAGCCGCGGUAAUGCGUAGGUGGCAAGCGUUGUCCGGAAUUAUUGGGCGUAAAGCGCGCGCAGGCGGAUCUGCCAGUCUGUCUUAAAAGUUCGGGGCUUAACCCCGUGAUGGGAUGGAAACUACAGAUCUAGAGUAUCGGAGAGGAAAGUGGAAUUCCUAGUGUAGCGGUGAAAUGCGUAGAUAUUAGGAAGAACACCAGUGGCGAAGGCGACUUUCUGGACGAAAACUGACGCUGAGGCGCGAAAGCCAGGGGAGCGAACGG